AAUGCAUAGAUUUGCUUGAUAUAAAUACACCAUAAGUCUAAGACAAAACAUACAUCCUAGCUCCAAGCAGUUCAGAAAAUAAAAGCGAACAAUCAAGCAUGGCUAGUAGCAAAGUUGGUGUCCUCACUCUCUUUUUUCUAUGUGUUUUUGUAGUGGGAAGCAAUUAUGUGGAAGCUCAGA